rnacentral:rRNA from 1 species
AGAGAGAGACAUGCGCGCAUAUCAAUAAGCGGAGGAAAAGAAACUAACAAGGAUUCCCUUAGUAACGGCGAGUGAAGCGGGAAGAGCUCAAAUUUGAAAUCUUCAAGGUUUUACCUUGACGAAUUGUAGUUUAAAGAAGUGUUUUCUGCUGAAGUUUUGGUAAAAGUUCUUUGGAAUAGGACAUCAUAGAGGGUGAGAAUCCCGUAUUUGACCAUUAUUUUCAGCUUUGUGAUACACUUUCAAAGAGUCGGAUUGUUUGGGAAUGCAGUCCAAAAUGGGUGGUAAAUUUCAUCUAAAGCUAAAUAUUGGCGAGAGACCGAUAGCGAACAAGUACCGUGAGGGAAGGAUGAAAAGAACUUUGAAAAGAGAGUUAAACAGUACGUGAAAUUGUCAAAAGGGAAGCGUUUGACACCAGUGUUGUUUUCUCGAAAAUCAAUUAAAAAUGGCUCGAUUUUGUAUUGCUUGAGACCUUAAAAGCUCACUGUACAUUUUUCGUGUCUUUUUUAAUGCACUUUUCGUUUAACAAGUCAACAUCAGUUUCUUUUGUUGUAAAAGGGUCAUUGGAAGGUGGCUUUCUUUUCGGAGAAAGUGUUUAUAGCCUUUGGCCUCUGCAAUCGGAGAGACUGAGGUCUGCAGCGUAGACUCUUCGGGGUUAGAUACAUUUGUGCUAAGUUAUAGCUUUUUAUAGACAACUUGUUGACUAUAAUUAGUCUUGUAGCUUACUCGCUUAUGCUAUUUUACCUACGCUUAGGAUGUUGAAGAUGUAGCACAUCAU